rnacentral:rRNA from 1 species
ACGCUCGACACCUACGGGAGCAGCAGUAGGGAAUCUUCCACAAUGGACGCAAGUCUGAUGGAGCAACGCCGCGUGAGUGAAGAAGGUCUUCGGAUCGUAAAACUCUGUUGUUAGAGAAGAACACGAGUGAGAGUAACUGUUCAUUCGAUGACGGUAUCUAACCAGCAAGUCACGGCUAACUACGUGCCAGAGCGCGGUAGUACUGAGNGGCGNGNAG